rnacentral:rRNA from 1 species
AGAACGAACGCUGGCGGCAUGCCUAAUACAUGCAAGUCGAACGAACUCUUCGGAGUUAGUGGCGCACGGGUGCGUAACGCGUGGGAAUCUGCCCUUGGGUUCGGAAUAACAGUUGGAAACGACUGCUAAUACCGGAUGAUGACGAAAGUCCAAAGAUUUAUCGCCCAGGGAUGAGCCCGCGUAGGAUUAGCUAGUUGGUGAGGUAAAGGCUUACCAAGGCGACGAUCCUUAGCUGGUCUGAGAGGAUGAUCAGCCACACUGGGACUGAGACACGGCCCAGACUCCUACGGGAGGCAGCAGUAGGGAAUAUUGGACAAUGGGCGAAAGCCUGAUCCAGCAAUGCCGCGUGAGUGAUGAAGGCCUUAGGUGUAAAGCUCUUUACCCGAGAUGAUAAUGACAGUAUCGGAGAAUAAGCCCCGGACUAACUCCGUGCCAGCAGCCGC